AUUGAACGCUGGCGGCAUGCCUUACACAUGCAAGUCGAACGGUAACAGGUCUUCGGAUGCUGACGAGUGGCGAACGGGUGAGUAAUACAUCGGAACGUGCCUAGUAGUGGGGGGUAACUACUCGAAAGAGUGGCUAAUACCGCAUGAGAUCUACGGAUGAAAGCAGGGGAUCGCAAGACCUUGUGCUACUAGAGCGGCCGAUGGCAGAUUAGGCAGUUGGUGGGAUAAAAGCUUACCAAGCCGACGAUCUGUAGCUGGUCUGAGAGGACGAUCAGCCACACUGGGACUGAGACACGGCCCAGACUCCUACGGGAGGCAGCAGUGGGGAAUUUUGGACAAUGGGCGCAAGCCUGAUCCAGCAAUGCCGCGUGCAGGAUGAAGGCCUUCGGGUUGUAAACUGCUUUUGUACGGAACGAAAAGCCCUGGGUUAAUACCCUGGGGUCAUGACGGUACCGUAAGAAUAAGCACCGGCUAACUACGUGCCAGCAGCCGCCGUAAAAC
rnacentral:rRNA from 1 species